rnacentral:rRNA from 1 species
GACGAACGCUGGCGGCGUGCUUAACACAUGCAAGUCGAACGGAAAGGCCCUGCUUUUGUGGGGUGCUCGAGUGGCGAACGGGUGAGUAACACGUGAGUAACCUGCCCUUGACUUUGGGAUAACUUCAGGAAACUGGGGCUAAUACCGGAUAGGAGCUCCUGCUGCAUGGUGGGGGUUGGAAAGUUUCGGCGGUUGGGGAUGGACUCGCGGCUUAUCAGCUUGUUGGUGGGGUAGUGGCUUACCAAGGCUUUGACGGGUAGCCGGCCUGAGAGGGUGACCGGCCACAUUGGGACUGAGCUACGGCCCAGACUCCAACGGGAGGCAACAGUGGGGAAUAUUGCACAAUGGGCGGAAGCCUGAUGCAGCACCGCCGCGUGCGGGAAGACGGCCUGCGCGUAGUAAACCGCUUUCGCCUGAGACGAAGCGUGAAUGACGGUAAUGGGUAAAGAAGCACCGGCUAACUACGUG